AUUGAACGCUGGCGGCAUGCUUUACACAUGCAAGUCGAACGGUAACAGGCCGCGAGGUGCUGACGAGUGGCGGACGGGUGCGUAAUGCAUCGGAACGUGCCCCGUCGUGGGGGAUAACUACUCGCAAGAGUAACUAAUACCGCAUACGAUCUAUGGUUGAAAGCGGGGGACCGUAAAGCCUCGCGCGAUUGGAGCGGCCGCUGUCAGAUUAGGUAGUUGGUGGGGUAAAGGCUUACCAAGCCAACGAUUUGUAGCUGGCCUGAGAGGACGAUCAGCCACACUGGGACUGAGACACGGCCCAGACCCCUACGGGAGGCAGCAGUGGGGAAUCUUGGACAAUGGGCGCAAGCCUGACCGAGCAAUGCCGCGUGCAUGAAGAAGGCCUUCGGGUUGUAAACUUCUGUUGUACGGAACGAAACGGUGCUGGUUAAUAUCCGGAGCUAAUGACGGUACCUUAAGAAUAAGCACCGGCUAACUACGUG
rnacentral:rRNA from 1 species